rnacentral:rRNA from 1 species
UACGUAGGCUGCAAGCGUUGUUCGGAAUUACUGGGCGUAAAGAGUGUGUAGGCGGUGCUCCAAGUCUGGUGUGAAAUCUCCCGGCUUAACUGGGAGGGUGCAUUAGAAACUGGAAUGCUAGAGGAUGGGAGAGGUAAGCGGAAUUCCUGGUGUAGCGGUGAAAUGCGUAGAUAUCAGGAGGAACACCUGUGGUGUAGACAGCUUACUGGACCAUUUCUGACGCUGAGACACGAAAGCGUGGGUAGCAAACAGG